UUGAUCAAGGAAUGUCAAGAUCGGUGUCGAUAUUGCCAUAUAAAUGUUGGCUAGUCAUGACAAGCCUUGCCUUGUUAAUUCAUUUAGAAGUCACCUAGCAUGCCACCUCCACAAUGUGUGCGCAAAGUUGUCUCAGGUGAAUAAUGGGCAGAUGGGCUUCAGUACUAAAGCGUCGGACAGCUCCCAGUUCGCUGGUUUUGCGGAUGCGCUUUAUACAUAGGAUCUAAUGUAACAAUCGCUUCCCCCGCAUGCACCGAUCUCUUACUUUUGUCUUAAAGCAAUUGCUGAGUUUCCUUUACAAGGGAGAGGGGCUUUACAGUGAAUUGGAAAUGAUAUUGCUGCUAAAUUAGCUCCAAGCCAAUCUGAUCUGUGCCAUUGUAUAGUGAUAAGCUUUAAGCAGGGACUGAUUUCAAAGAUAAGAUGCUCUCCCUCUCUGCAUGCAGCUAUAGCACAUGGAGCUCUGAUGAUGGAUUCUAUUACCCACAGAGCACUGGAGAUCAUUUUCCAUCAGUAAAGGUGCUGUUGGAUACCAUGCAUGUGUAUUUAUGCCUUUGGUUAUGCAUGAUCAUGUGGAUAUAAAAGUAUGUUUUAUUAGUUAAUACUACUAGAGGGCUUGUGGAAUCACAGCAGCCCCAUGGCUAAACUGUCACUCUUCUUAUGCUGCUAAACGUUUCUCAUAGUCUGACUAUAGUCUAAAUGCAUGUUCCUAUAGUCCCACAAGGCAUUGGUCCUUUCCCAUUGGGAAGUCAUGAAUAAAAGGCAAUGAAGCCUCCACGUCAGAUGCUCCUCAAUUAAUCCACCAUUAGCAGGUUUGGGAUCCACUACUGGAGAUGCUGGUGUAACUGUAUGAUGUCCACAGCCAAUUAGGCUCAGCUUUAAAAAAAAAAAAAAAAAAAAUGAACUCUUUGCAGCCCUGAGCUGGGAGCUGUCAGGGUUUUUACGUGUUCAGAUGUGGAGGUUGAGGGGGAAGUGGCAGCAGGCAGAUGGUGCAGAUCAGAUCGAUGUGAUCGUUUUUGCUGCUUUUUUUUUUUUUUCGUCUCUCUUUCUCUUUUCCCUCUGGUUGCUGCUGGAGCUGAGGGCGAUUGCUGAGAGCGCUAAGGCACCAGCCGACAGGGAAUGAAUGUGUUUGGGGACCAUUAGCAGGAUAUUUAGUGAUUUUCACCAAUGAUUCCAUUUAUCCAGCAACAAGCGAGCAGCAGCUGCAUUUGCGUCCUGGAUUAGCAACUAAAAGGGAUUCACUGAGCUCUUGGACAUCCAAUUGAACAGGCUGGAGCUGGGGGCGUACAUCAAGGGUUAUUUUGCAAGUAGGAAAGAAGACAUGGGAAGAGACAAGGUACAUUGCACGUAAACUCUCUUGUGGUGUGUAGAUACACAACAUCUCCAUUGCAUUUAAACACUGCAUGGUUUUCUGCUAUUCUUUCAGGACUUGGAACAAAGACAUUUUGGACUUGGGUUAUGAAUCUCCAUGACCUGUUUGGAUUCCAUUCUUCUGAUUUAUGGCUGUGGAUUUAUUGCCCGGUGUGCUGUUGCUCUGUGGCUCUCUUCGGUGACGGGUAUUCUUGGGUGGAUAAUACGGAUUACGUUGUUAUUGCUUAAGAAUACGCGUAGUUGAGGAGAGUAUCUUCAGCAAGGAAGCUCCAUGUCUCCAGCACCAAGGGAGUCCCUACUCUAGUGGCCAAGGUAGCACAUUUUCCUACAUUACUGGUACAUAUAUAUAUAUAUAUAUAUAUAUAUAUAUAUAUAUAUAUAUAUAUAUAUAUAUAUAUAUAUAUAUAUAUAUAUAUACUGUAUAUACUGUAUAUAUAUAUAUAUAUACAUAUAAAUAUGUGAUUUUUAACAAAACUCUGCUUUAUACAUGUUUCAGCUGAGGGCAUUUUAAACGGGUAGUGUAUUGUAUUCUCCCUUUUAAACUUCAGCUGAAAGCAAGUAACACAGUUUUUUUUCUUUUUAAAUUUCUUUUUUAAAUAAUUUUUUCUUUGUUUUAUGGAAUGGUGGGGCAGGCACUGUUGAUAUUUAUGCAUGUUGAUAUCAGUUUUUAAAGAGUCCAAUUUUGAAAUGUAAAAACCUUGGAGGCCUCUUGUGUAAGCUUGAUUUUGUGGAUGAAUUAUGCAUAGCUUCAGAUUUACACCAAGGCAACGCCUUAAAAUGCUGACAACCAGGAUCCUCUGGGAGUCGAGUGACAUAUAAUCCUUCUAUGGUUGGGGAAUUUGCAAUGGGAUCCUGCUCUGUGGCCUCUGUCUUUGCCCUGGGCCUAAUCUCUGCCCUACAUUUAUUACCCUUUGCCGUUGCACUCAGUCAUCUGGAUCCCUCACUCCUUUUCUGACACACACAGAACAUGUCCCUCUGGAUGUGUCAGACCUGCAUCCUGCACUGCAGACUGCUUUAUUUUCCUGCUGGCAUUGUCGGGGUUAACAUUGCUGUCUUGCACUGGUCGAAAAGAUAAUGGGUUGUGUUUGGUCGAACCAUGGAUUUCAAAUUGCCAUUCUGAAACUAUUGGAAAUCUUUGUGAUAGCUUUGUAACACGUUAAUGCCACUCCAGGUGGCCAAUAAAUGCUUUGAUACUUUC